rnacentral:misc_RNA from 1 species
AGGGGGGUGGGUGUUGAGGGAGUCUGGGCAGUCCGUGGGGAACCCCUUUUUCGGUUCGGACUUGGGUAGCGAUCGAGGGAUGGUAUCGGAUAUCGGCACGAGGAAUGACCGACCGUCCGGCCGCCGGGAUUUUCGCCGGAAAACUUUUCCGGCGACUUUUCCGGCGAUCGGUUUUGUUGCCUUUUUCCGAGUUUUCUCAGCAGUUCUCGGACAAAAACUGCUGAAUCGUCGAGGAGAAUGGGCUUGCCUUGCGUGGGCUGCCAUUAGUUCUUCGAGGCGUUAGGGUGGCGGCGGUAUAAAAGUGUCGGAGUUUUUUCAGCAGUUCUCGGACAAAAAUUGCUGAGUGGCCGAGAAGAAUGGGCGUGUCAUGCGUGGGCUGACAUGGAUUCUUCGAGGCCUAGGGGUGGCGGUAUAUAACUUGUUCGCAUGAUAUUACCGAGAUGUCCCCACGGGCAUCUUUUCACCUCGUCGCCGAAGAGAAUGGGCGUGUCAUGGCAUGGGCUGACAUGGAUUCUCCUAGGCCGUUUGGGUGGCGGUAUAGUCGUCUUGCGCACGAAAUACCGAGAUGUCCCCAUGGGCAUCGAUUCCACCCGCCUAGGUUGGAUGGGCGUGCUUCGUCGGAAAGCAUGGAUCCGCCUAGGCUGUCCCGAGUGUGAGCGAGGUGUGAGUGUCGCCCAUGGGCAUCGACACCUUGCGGCUAGGAACUGGAACGAGACGGGUGGCAAAGAUUUCGAGUAGCACUUCAUACUACCGUGGGUUUUUUAAACCUUCCGAGUUUUGUUGAUGUUAUUCCGAGAAUUAGCAAACCGUAACGAAGAUGUUCUUGGCAACCAUCUUUUGAUGGGAGUCCGGCUGUUCGAUAGCCGGCCAAGGGUGAUGAACGAAAUGUGAACCCUUGUCUCGCCUAGGUUGGAUGGGCGUGCUUCGUUGGAAAGCAUGGAUCCGCCUAGGCUGUCCCGAGUGUGAGCGAGGUGUGAGUGUCGCCCAUGGGCAUCGACACCUUGCGGCUAGGAACUGGAACGAGACGGGUAGCAAAGAUUUCGAGUAGCACUUCAUACUACCGUGGGUUUUUUAAACCUUCCUAGUUUUGUUGAUGUUAUUCCGAGAAUUAGCAAACCGUAACGAAGAUGUUCUUGGCAACCAUCUUUUGAUGGGAGUCCGGCUGUUCGAUAGCCGGCCAAGGGUGAUGAACGAAAUGUGAACCCUUGUCUCGCCUAGGUUGGAUGGGCGUGCUUCGUUGGAAAGCAUGGAUCCGCCUAGGCUGUCCCGAGUGUGAGCGAGGUGUGAGUGUCGCCCAUGGGCAUCGACACCUUGCGGCUAGGAACUGGAACGAGACGGGUAGCAAAGAUUUCGAGUAGCACUUCAUACUACCGUGGGUUUUUUAAACCUUCCUAGUUUUGUUGAUGUUAUUCCGAGAAUUAGCAAACCGUAACGAAGAUGUUCUUGGCAACCAUCUUUUGAUGGGAGUCCGGCUGUUCGAAAGCCGGCCAAGGGUGAUGAACGAAAUGUGAACCCUUGUCUCGCCUAGGUUGGAUGGGCGUGCUUCGUUGGAAAGCAUGGAUCCGCCUAGGCUGUCCCGAAGGUAUCUCGCGCUUGUACGGCUUUGGCUCGGAUUCGUCCGUCUUCUUUCUUCUUAGCCGAGUACUUCGGUAGAUUAGUUGGAACGAUUGAUGAUUUUGAGUUAAUUGAACGUUCGGCGUAUGAGUGGUGAUCGGAUAGCUAGUGUUCGUAGGCUCCAUGCUCGCGCAUCGAACUACCUACCACCUAUCCUUCUCAGUUAAUUCACGGGCGAUGUUACGCUCGAUGAUGAGUUCCGGGGCCUGUGUUUCGUACCUA